UACGUAGGGGGCAAGCGUUGUUCGGAAUUACUGGGCGUAAAGGGCUCGUAGGCGGCCAACUAAGUCAUACGUGAAAUCCCUCGGCUUAACCGGGGAACUGCGUCUGAUACUGGAUGGCUUGAGAUUGGGAGAGGGAUGCGGAAUUCCAGGUGUAGCGGUGAAAUGCGUAGAUAUCUGGAGGAACACCGGUGGCGAAGGCGGCAUCCUGGACCAACACUGACGCUGAGGAGCGAAAGCCAGGGGAGCAAACGGG
rnacentral:rRNA from 1 species